GCUGAGGUUUGAGGCCCCGUUUUGCUGCUCACUAGCUACAUGAUCUUGGGCAAGUUAUUUAAGCUCUCUGAGCUUCAGUUUCUUCCUCUGCAGAAUGGGGAUGAAAGUGGACUACUACCUCAUGGCAUGUUUUGAGGAUGAAAUGAGCUAAUAAACACAGUCUUCAGCCCUACAUUAGCCUUUCCUCCGUUCCUGUAGCCUCUGGUCACUUCUAUUCUACUUUUUGUCUCUAUGAAUUGACUAUUCUAGGUACUUCAUAUAAGUGGAAUCAUACAAUAUGUGUCCUUUUGUGUCUAAUUUAUUCACUUAGUAUAAUGUUUCCAAGGUUCAUCCACUUGUGGCAUGUAUUAGAAUUUCAUUCUUUUUAAGACUGAAUUUUGUUCAUUAGGAUGGCCUAAGGAAAACAAGAAGACUGAAUGAUAUUCCCUGAGAGAAUUAAUGUUUCAUUUCAGAGGAAGCUAUACACUUACACCUGGAUGCCAAAUUCUCUCAAAAGGGAAAACUGAUUUAGAAAUGGAUUUUUCUUUUUUUUUUUCCUCCAGCUGACUUAUAUAAGUUAUUAGUCUUCUAGAAGGAUCACAAGGAACCAGCAUCAAAGAAAUGGAAUCCAGCUAAUUCCCCCAAGAAACUGAAGUUUUCGGGACAUGACUUGUGAAAGGCAAACAUAAGCUGACAUCUUUUCACACUGAACAGCAAGAGCCAAAGUGUAUCCGAAAAGCCAUUGUCAAAACAAGGAGUGAGAACAGCUGGGGUCAAGACCUAAUGAAGGGCAUCACUCAGCCUCUUUGAGCCUCGGAUUCCUCAUUUGUAAAGUGGGCAUAAUAAUACCUCACAGGGUAGUUAUGAGGGCAAAUGAGAUAAUGGACACGAAGGCACCUGUACACUCCACGGUGCUAUCAGAAUAUUGACUAUUAGUGCUUUCAUCACGCGGCUCCAUCCAAACCCCUGCUUUCCCUCACUCCAGUAAGUGGUUGCCCUCCACCCACCCCCCAUCUUCUAAUAAUGUAGACUGGAAACCCAAGCAUCAUCUUUGUCCUCCUUUUCAUUCCCUGACCCCAGUUGGUCUUCAUCCACAGUCUCUUUUUUUUUUUUUCUUUUUUGAGACAGAGUCUCACUCUGUCACAGAGGCUGGAGUGCAGUGGCGCGAUCUUGGCUCACUGCAACCUCUACCUCCUGGGUUCAAGCGAUUCUCCUGACUCAGCCUCCCAAGUAGCUGGGACUAAAGGUGCCCACCACCACACACAGCCACUUUUUCUAUUUUUAGUACAGACGAGGUUUCACCAUGUUGGCCAGGCUCCUGACCUUGAACUCCUGACCUGGUUUUGCUCCUGACCAGGCUCCUGGUCUUGAACUCCUGACCUCGUGAUCCACCUGCCUUGGCCUCCCAAAGUGCUGGGAUUACAGGCGUGAGCCACUGUGCCCGGCCCAUCCCUCAGUCUAUAUUUCCAUAACUGGAAGAAUCUCCUAAGUGGGCUGUAAUCUAGCCUUGCGUGACUCCAUCCUGCUCACUAAUAAAGAAAUAAUCCUCUUAAAAUCACACUUGGAUUAUUCUUUUCCGUUUUUCAGAAACUUUCAAUGGUUUCCCAUUGCCUGCAGAAUAAAGUCCAACCUUCAAAGUAGCUGGAAUUAAAAACCAUUAACAAUCUGGCCUCCCUACCUAAAUAACAUCAAUGAGAGGGCCACACAGAAGUCAGAUAUAUGGAAAUUAAAACAUGUUUUACUGGUGGAUAAAUGCUGUACUAGAGGAUAGGUUAUGUGGCCAAAAGAGUUUGCUGACAAUUUCUGCUUCCCAUUCCCCCAGUCUAGACCUUCAGACACAGUCCACCUGAGGCUUGUCUUCCUCUCCGUGGUCAUUUAGAGUUGAUCCUACUCAUCCUUUUCCCCCACUGCAGGCUUCCCAAGGGUUCCUGCAGCCCUUGGCAUCUGUCUCACUCACCUGUCCCUUCGCAUGUUCUGCCAUGAUGUUUAGCUUCUUUCUUGAGAGUAUGCCCUCUUCAUAGAAGUCAGAAACUCCUGGCCCACUGGCUAAACCUGAUCCCUAGAGGUUUUUCUGACUCUCACAAUGUUGGCCUGCACUGUGUUUGACAAUGCAUCAACUUACCUGACAAUUUGUAUUCUAUUUAUUUUUUUUUAGAAGAGGAGUCUCACUUUGUCACCCAGCCUGGAGUGCAGUGGUGAGAUCAUAGCUCACUGCAGCCUUGACCUCAUGGGCUCAAAAAAUCCUCCUGUUGGGACUACAGAUGCUCACCACCAUGCCUGGCUAAUUUAAAAUUUUUUUGUAGAGACAGGGUCUCACUAUAUUGUCCAGACUGGUCUCAAAUUCCUGGCCUCCACCAAUCCUCCCACCUCAUUCUCCCAAAGUGCUGGGAUUAUAGGCAUGAGCCACUGCGUCUGGCCUAUAUUCUAAAAAAAUUCUGCUGAGAAACUAGGAAAGCUAGCAGCCUUGGUUUCUCAGGUUUGACUUGCAACAAUUGACUUCUUGUAAAUGUUGCCUAUAUUGCUUUCUCUACCACCUCAACAUCAACUUUUUCCCAAUUCGCUCCUCAUAUUUCUGCUAUUUCAUGAAGAUUGCUCUUGUUAAUGUCACCAAGAGCCUCCACAAUUGCCAAAUCCAGUAGUUUGUCUCUGCUUUUGUCUUACUUGCCCUUUUGGCAGCAUUUGCCACUUAAUCAUGCUUUUCUUUUUUCUUUUUUAGACAGGCUUUUACUCUGUCACCCAUGCUGGAGUGCAGUGGUGCAAUCUUGGCUCACUGAAACCUCUGCCUCCUGGAUUCAAGCGAUCCUCCCACCUCAGCCUCCCGAGUAGCUGGGACUACAGGUGAGGGCCACCAUGCCUGGUAAUUUUUGUAUUUUUA
rnacentral:lncRNA from 10 species